rnacentral:tRNA from 1 species
UUCCUAGUGGUCUAGUGGUUAGGACUCCACACUUUCACUGUGGAGGGCUUGGGUUCUAUCUCUGGUCAGGGAA